CCUGCCUCUGUCUGGACCGGGAGCACCGGGGGCGGAGCCCCGCAGCUUCAUUGCUUCUGUUCCGGUUGUUGUUGCAGCUGCUGCAGGUUUCUCCCCUCGCCUGAAUGUCCUGGACAAUUCCCUGUUGCUGUGAACGCAUCUUCAUAUGUGAAAGAUGGAUGUCAUGUGCUGUGAGCUGAGAGGACUUCUGCUGCAUGGUGGCUCCAUCCCACUGUCCCAUUAGCAGCCCCCCAGGGAGACAAAGACCUGGAAUCUGGGGAGACAGACCCAGAUUAGCUCAUAAAUCACCGCCCUGGGGACCAAGGAAAAAACAGUGACAUCAUCACUAUGAGACCCUACGUCCUGUGAUCCAGCUGACCGUGCAGUCAGCAACAGUCACUCUCAGCUGAUAAGAGUUGGCAGCAGUCUGUGAUGGCUGCCGCUGGUGUGGAGAGGUCUGUUGAAUUUGCUAUCACAGCGUCAGUAUUACACAUGGACUUUCUUCAAAAAAAGAACGAGCAAAUCCAACAUGUUCAAUCCAGAACGGUGCGCAGCGUUCUACGGUUUGAAGGUUGAACUACAUUUUUCCACUAAACAUUGUGAAACUGGGAGUAUUUGUUUUACCAUUUGGUGGGUGUGUCAGAAGUGGUACCCAAUCAAAAUUCAAUUUCCAAGUCCAGUGUGUAGGAUAUAGUGGCAUCGAGCCGUGAAGUUGUAUAUUGCAACCAAUUAAAUACUGCUCACCUCACCCUCCCUUUCUAAGCAUGUAGGAGAAACUAUGGUGGCCUGCAGGUACCAUAAAAACAUGAAGUCCCUCUCUAGAGCCAGUGUUUAGUUUGUCUAUUGUGGGCUGCCGUAGAAACAUGGAGGAGCAUAUGGCAGACUCCGUGAACAAGGACCUGCUUCUGAUGUUGAUAUAAAGGCCUCAUUCUAGGCUAAGGAAUACACAAUAAUUCGUAGCUGUAAGUGAACAUCGUGCAGCCCCUAUAUCCUCCACACUGCUCCUUUAAGUAGGUCAUUAAUUUAGGUUUAUAUUCUACAUUGUCAUAUUUGAUCCACUGCCACAUGUUGUUGAAAACCCCAAUAAAAUGUAAUUUUACAA